rnacentral:lncRNA from 1 species
ACGAGUUAGGAGAGUUUGGACAUGUUUGAUUCAUCUUGUCAAGCUUCUUAGCAAUGCCCAAAACUGCAGCGACUUUACGUGAUUGACUACAUCGAGGAUGCUGGUCUUGAGGUGUUUUGUUUCAAUCUGCAAGGACCUAUGCUAGCUGAGAGUCUGUGCCAUUUGUCAUGGAACCAAACGUUUGAAGUGGAAUAAAUCAGAGAUGAUAUACACAAAGUUGAAGCACUAAAAUCAUUAACAGUAAAAACAAACCUUUAAAAAAACAUGUAAACAUUUAAAACACAUUAUAAAAUCCAGAAGUUGAAUAAAUCAGAGAUGAUAUACACAAAGUUGAAGCACUAAAAUCAUUAACAGUCAAAAACAAACCUUUAAAAAGAAUGUAAAACCUUUAAAAUACGUUGUAAAAUCCAAUGGGUCAUUGUUAGACAUCUGCGUAAAAACCAAGCAUUAAAAGUAUAAAACCAUAUCCAGUAAAAACAAAAGCAAAAAAGUUUAAGAGAAACAAACCUUUAAAAAGCAUAUAAGACCUUUAAAAAAUGUUGUAAAAUCCAGAAUUCAAAAUCAAGUAGUAAAAUCAAUCAUUAAUAGUCAAAAAUGAUAUCAAAAAAGCUUCUAAAAGAAAAACCUUCCACAGAAUCACAGAAUCUAACCUGUAAAAGACAAACCUUUCAAAACAGAACCACAUAACCACAGAAUCUAACCUCUAAAGACAAACCUUACAAAGAAUCUAACCUGGAAUCGAUGUGGGACUCGAAAACUGAACGAAAAGGGGACAGAAGAGGAAUCUAACCUGGAAUCGAUGUGGGACUCGAAAACAGAAGGAAAAGCGAAUUCGGAACAGAGAGAAUAGAUCUGAAAUGAGAGCGAGAUCGAGAUCUGUAAUCGGAAUCGAGAUUUGAAAUCGGAAUCGAGAUUUGAAAUCGGAAUACUCGCCGAUCAACGUGAGAGAGCGAGAGAGAGAGAAGAGAUGAGGGAACCG